rnacentral:rRNA from 1 species
GAUGAACGCUAGCGGGAGGCCUAACACAUGCCAGCCGAGCGGUAUUGUUUCUUCGGAAAUGAGAGAGCGGCGUACGGGUGCGUAACACGUGUGCAACCUGCCUUUAUCUGGGGGAUAGCCUUUCGAAAGGAAGAUUAAUACUCCAUAAUAUAUUGAACGGCAUCGUUUAAUAUUGAAAGCUCCGGCGGAUAGAGAUGGGCACGCGCAAGAUUAGCUAGUUGGUGAGGUAACGGCUCACCAAGGCGAUGAUCUUUAGGGGGCCUGAGAGGGUGAUCCCCCACACUGGUACUGAGACACGGACCAGACUCCGACGGGGGGCAGCAGUGAGGAAGAUUGGGCAAUGGGUGCAAGCCUGAACCAGCCAUCCCGCGUGAAGGACGACUGCCCUAUGGGUUGUAAACUUCUUUUGUAUAGGGAUAAACCUACCCUCGUGAGGGUAGCUGAAGGUACUAUACGAAUAAGCACCGGCUAACUCCGUG